AUUUGAUUCAGGUGUGUUGGAGCAGGGAUGGAUCCAAAGGUUGCAGGACAGCAGCUCUUGACUGGCGUUGGAGACCCUUUGGCUAAAGAAAACUGUGACAAGGAUACUGAUUAUGUUCAGAUCUUAAAUAGGUGUGUGCAACAAACUCCAGGUGUCUUUAGAGGCAGAAAAAGAAAACGCCCCAAACUAACUACUGGCUUCCUCAUAGCUUUCCAGAUGCCAGGACAUGAAAUAACAACAGAAAAAUGUGUCGCCUCACUUUAGAAAACCAUAAGGGUUUGCUAAUAAACAUCACUGCGUUUGGGAACAGCAACUGAUUCUGGUGACAUCACGGAGAGGACAGUUAAUAUGCUUACAUAUUAUAGGCAGGUUUUACAAUUUGUAGAUUUGACCCUAAACCCUUGGUAAUGUAUGUUGUUUUAUUUAUCAUCCAUGAGCCCAAACAGAUCUGCCCUUGGACCUUGACAAGCUCUAUAGGCCAGCACCCUAUGUCACCAUUAUAUCCAGUAAGUGUCCAGCAGUGGCUUCCUGUUAGAUCUGGUGGAGACUUUUUCCCUCCUUAAAAUACAUUAAUAUUAAUUAUGCAAGUUUGUCAUUUAUUACACAUAUAAAAUACUUGGCCACUGUUUUUGUAUUUUGGUCUGAAAAAUGUCAGAUUUAAUAUUUGUUAACUAGUUUCUGUUAUAUGUUGAAAUUAUUUUCCUUUGUUCAGUCAAAUUGUUCAUGAUUUCUGCUUGUCUCUUUUUAAGACUUUGGUCAUUUACUGGUAUCAGUGAAAGCCAAUGUUUUAAAAAGUUAAGGUAUCAAAAUAGCUAAAAAAAAAAACAAUGUCUGUUGUCCUUUUAAUGAGUUGAUGGAGAAAAGUGCAAAAGUUAGUGGAGUUUGCUCCAAGUGUAUGGAACAUAGAAACUCCCAGCUCUGCCCCUCCUCCACAUAUUACUGUCCUCUGCUGGUCAACUGUCCAGAUGAAUGCUACUACCUUUUCCUUUACUAAGAAGAAAUAUAUAGCUGUUUGAAAAUGUUUCUUGGUUUUCUAUUUGUAAUAAAUUUGCAACCACCCCACACAAACUUUGUCAUAAUGGGAUAUUGUGUGUAGAAGUUUGA